CUCCCCGGGAGCUGGCCUUGCUGGGACCUGCUGCCCUGCGCGCCACCUCCGCCCCCCUCCGGGUUCCCGGGGAUGCUCCCGCUGGAGACGCGGGCAGAGCGCAACAGGCGGUUCGGAGUUCGUCGACUCUGUGGGUGUCUACACUCUGAGAGACUUUUCAUUUUCUUUUUUAACAGCGGAGUUCCUCUUUCCAACCUGAUUACCCCGCACGACCUGGCUGGCCUGUCCUCUGCGGACUCCCGUUACCCUGGAGUUCUUAAAGGCGUUAAGCUGUUUUCCAGCUUGGUUGCAGGACUCUGGGAAACUAACUGAAGAAUUGCUUCUUUUUCCUUUGAUUCGUGCACCAAGAUUUGUGUGAGUAUGGGGCAUGGGAGAGAGGAACACAAUAUCGUGGUUAGAUCUUCCAAUGAGCUGGUCCUCAACAGUGCAGUCACAUUCCUGGUCCCUUUGUAGUUCUUUUCCAGCAGAGAUAAGCCCCCAGCCUGCUAGUGACCAGCAUUUUUCAGAGGCGUAGAGCCUGUAGGAAUGAGAGCAAAGAGCAGCCAUGAUUGUAUUAGUAAUAUUAGCCAAAAUACAAGGCAUGUGGAAAGUGUGGUGCUAGUUUUUAUUUUUUAAUAAUCUGAAAUCUCUCGGAUGAGAGUUUGGGACAAAUUCUGAUAAAGAUUGUCGGGCUUUGUGGGCUGCAAAAUGGCUACCAAAAUAACUUGCUGAUCAGGAGAAGCUGGGUUGAUUGCUUAACAGAGUGACUGAUAGUCUUAUAAGCGCAGCUAAGACUGCCUGACAGUCUUAGCACCUCAGAGAAAGUCUUGGGGUUCACAGGAGGUAAAUCGACCUACCAAGAAAGGUGUAACUAAUUUUAGGGAGCAAUGAAGACGGUAGUGAAUGAAGGACCAGCCAAGCUGACAGAAGACUCUACUAGUUCAGGUGCUACCCCUCAACAAGGUGGGGAGGCUCUCGCCGCUGGAUCACAAGAGAAGCGGUCUCGAUUCUAACGAAGUUAAGGGCUUGGAGGGAUCUCUCUUGUGUGCUUAUAGGUUGAAGGUUUAUGACAUUUAGGCCCAGAAUGGGAGGGUACUGAAGAGCUAAUCUGAAUUCAGAAAAUGUCUGUCUAUGUUCGGGUUCCCAGGGAAAAGGUAUGGUUAGCAAGGAUGUGGGUAGGGCAAAUUAAUGGCAUGCCCGUUUCAGAGAAGUUAGGAAUGUUCUGCCUGCAGUGGCCCAAGGAGCCUCAUAAUUGUCUUAGUUAUUGGCCAGACACACUUUGCACAGCUCAUUGUCUGGAGUAAGGGAUUUUCCUCCAUGGGAUGUCUUGUCUUAUAAACUGAGUAAACUGAGGCAUAGUGGUCUCCCAGGUACUAUUGUUGAUUUUCCCUAGUGAAGACAAGUAUUAACUUUUGAUUUAAAGAGAUACCAAAGUGGGGCACCUGGCUGGCUUGGUGGGUGGAGU